CAAGAAGCAGCCAAGAUAAGCAGCACCACAGACUAAAUCUGCUGCACCCACCAAGGCUCUACCACGUGACCAAGAUUGCUGCGGGCAUUGCUGUACCUCCCGACGGCUUAAGUACGGACCUCUUGAGCCCAGGCGUCCAGUUUGGCAGCAGCACGAUGAACAGCGCGCACGCUUACGGCAAACUGCAUUUUUUUGCAGACUUGCUGUUACCACUGGCCGGCCUGCAUGACAUCUGCUACGAAUGUUGCCGGAGCUGUGUUGAUGUGACUUAUUGUGCAUAAAGUGGCCGAGGCUGAAUUGCAGCGGAAGGAGCUCCUUGCUUGGCUUGCUAAACCGGAUAAGGAUAAUUGGCAGCCUGCAGGGAACAACAUGAGCAAAGUUAAGUGCAUAUGGCGAUAUUCAAGUAGCCGGCUGAUGACUACAAGGUGAAUGUCUGCUAUGCGGACGACAAACGGCACACGCAAAACUGCG
rnacentral:lncRNA from 1 species